rnacentral:rRNA from 1 species
CCUACGGGAGGCAGCAGUGAGGAAUAUUGGUCAAUGGACGAGAGUCUGAACCAGCCAAGUAGCGUGAAGGCUGACUGCCCUAUGGGUUGUAAACUUCUUUUAUAAAGGAAUAAAGUGAGGCACGUGUGCCUUUUUGUAUGUACUUUAUGAAUAAGGAUCGGCUAACUCCGGUCCCGCAGCCGCGGUAAUACGGAGGAUCCGAGCGUUAUCCGGGUUUAUUGGGUUUAAAGGGAGCGUAGAUGGGUUGUUAAGUCAGUGUGCAAAGUUUGCGGCUCAACCGUAAAAUUGCAAUUGAUACUGGCAGCCUUGAGUACAGUUGAGGUAGGCGGAAUUCGUGGUGUAGCGGUGAAAUGCUUAGAUAGCACGAAGAACGCCGAUUGCGAAGGCAGCCUACUAAACUGCCACUGACAUUGAUGCUCGAAAGUGUGGGUAUCAAACAGGAUUAGAUACCCUAGUAGUC